CUAUCAGUGACGGGACUUCUCACCCCGAGGUGGUUUCCGCCGGUAACAGCUGAAGUCCCACCUCCACGCUGGGCCCUGAGGGGAUCGGGGCCAGUCCGGCGUGCCAGAUAUCCCCGAAGCAGUAGGACUUGAGUCCGUGCCUUCUCCACGACCCGCCCGCCUGACCUUCCUUCGUCCCUCUCGAGGGAAGCGACUGUUUUUUCCUCCCCGCCUCCAUCCCGUCCCAGGCAUGCAGGUGUCAGCGUAGAUGCUGUGAUCACCUCCGAACAAAUUUCUCUGUCCUUUAUAGCCGCCACAGGUACUAGUGUCGUGGGGUCUUUUGUUGCUCAUCGUGCCGCAGCUCUCGAGUUGGGACCUAGUCUGGGCACUGCCCGGUCGCGAAUCAUGGCUCCUACUACUUAUAUGCCCCGGCACCCGCUAUCCCGCUGUCUUUCCCAGGUCUCCCCACAUUGCCUUGCCCCACGGCAUUUAGGAGAGUAUAUGGUGUCAGCGUGAUAGAGAAGAAGGAUCAUGGAGUUUGCAGGCAUAAAAACGAGUUCCAGUCCUGUCACUAACUGGCUGUGACUUAGGCUAAUCACAAUCCCCUCCUGCAUUAAAAAAAGUGACUUUUCUGGACUUCCCUGGUAGUCUCGUGAUUAAGAAGCUGCCUGCCAAUGCAGAAGACACAGGUUUGAUCCCUGGUCUGGGAAGAUUCUGCAUGCCACGGGGCAGCUGAGCCCGUGUGCCCACAACUAUUGAGCCUGUGUGCUAAGAGCUGCAGCAACUGAAGGCUGCAUAUCCUAGAGCGCGUGCUCUGCAACAAGGGAAACCACUGCGAUGAGAAGCCCGCACACGGCAACUAGAAAGUAGCCCAGGCUCACUGUUGCUAGAGAAAACCUGCCCCCAGCAAUGAAGACCCAGCUCAGCCAAAAAAUAAACAAAUAAAUAAAAUUUUAAGUGACUUUAUUGUUACUGUCUUCAGAACUUAACCAUGU